GAGCCGCGCCGCGCUGAGGGGAGCGGAGCCGAGGGGAGCGGAGCCGAGCCGCGCUGAGGGGAGCGGAGCCGAGGGGAGCGGGCCGGGCCGCGCCGCUGUCACACGCCCGUGCCGCAUCAGCGCUGGCCCCUCCCCGCCCGCGGCCCAACCGCACCGCAUCUGCAUGGAGCAAAGUGAAAAAUGACACUGCAGCAAAAUUCUUUCAACUGAUCAGACAAGCAGUUUCCUCUAGCUUUCGAUAUCUAUUCAAGAAACCACAAACUGUUUGCUGCAGAAAGUAUGUAUUCAGAAAAGGUGAACGUUGCAUAAGGAUCCUGGGCUGAGUCAGAGCCACUUGAAGGUUUGCAGAAAGCCAGAGCAUGGGAUGAGCUGAAUAGACACCACACUCAGUUUCUCCCAGAGGAGCCAGCAGUUUUGCUCUUAUUUUUCUGUGAUGUGCUGAUGUUCUGUGAGUGCUGAAAUUCAACAAUAUGAAGAGCUCUGGGCCUGAUUUAAUGAUUUUUAUGACCUGAGAGAAUGCAGUUACAAUAUUUGGACAUAAGGAGCUUGCAAGAAGGCUGCCUGCCAAACAGAUUUCCUUAACUAUGACAGUCCUGUGCCCCCCAGGAUGCCCCUCUGCUCCUCUCUGGGGCCACUGCAUCAUUCUGGCUGCAACGGAGGUUUCCCCAUCCUACCACAGCAGCUGCACACCACAGCCCUCUCUGUGCUCCACAGUGAUAUGUUAAUCCAGUCUGGCAACCUGCACUGGGCACUGCUUUCAGGUGUUUGCUACGAAAAAGGGAGAAUUUGCAAACAUAAACACUUACCUACCUGCAGCCAAAGAGCUGGAGCUGUGCUACAAACAGCAACUGCACCUUUGCCUGGUCCUUCUGUGGUUUAAAAUCACAUCUAAAAAAAUCCUGCAACCUACCAGCUAGUGAGCUCAAGGAAGCAGGUAACAAGAGCAUGAACAAAUUCCAGGUAUGAGUUCUGCACACUCAAGAGGCAAAUUUUAAUUUGGCAAAUUUCAGAAUACUGUAACAGAUUUCAGUGGGAUCUAGGUUUAGCAAGAGAUGGAAAGCAAGGCUGCAAAAUCAUAGGGGAAGGAAAAGCAGAAGGAACACACAAGAUGCCUAAAGGACAUGCUGGAAGUUUUCCCAGAACUUACUAGUUUGGAGGUUAAGCCUAUUCAAUGACUACAGAAGGAAUGGAAAGAGUGGUCUAAGGAAAAAGCACAGGAUGAAGAAUAAAGACCAAGCACUAAUGCUAUCUGUGAGGCUUUAGCCACAUCAUUUAUCUUCAUUAUUCUUUUUCCCUCUUCCACUGCCUUGCCUAUUUAAACCAAAAAUUACAAGAGCAUAAACACUGUUAUCUCUAUUGAAGUCAUCACAUGGAGACUGAUGCAGGACCCUUGGGCAAUGCUGAUACUUAUGAGACACUGCUCCUAGCUAAAGCUCAUCUGUUUCUAAAACAAGCUUCUGUGUCCUCUAAAACACAAGGCAGAUUAUUUACUCCACUGCAAACACUACAGUAAAAGAAAAAAAAAAAAAAAAACAGAGGAGAAUGGUUCAAGAUGAGUUUCACAUAGAAAAUCUCUCAAUGACAGGGCCUGUCACUGUGCCAAGUGAGCCAGGAUCCCUGGUGGACAAAGGAAUACAGAGCUUGAGGAAGAAAGUAGGCUUGGGGACAAGUGUUGAAACAAAUGGUUCCAAGACCUCUAACUUUCAAUACAGGUUACUCUUCUCCCAAGUUUCUCAAAUUGAAAUGCUAAUACAAAUAUAUUCCAAACAAGAAAUAUUAUGUUAGGUUUGGUAUCAUUGUAUUGCAUGCUGGAGAAAACUUACUACUAGUUUUGCUAGUUUAGAUUAGUUCUAGAAAUACUUUAUACAGGUAUUAAUUACGUCAACUACAGCAUCACUUGCAUAUUACCCCAUACCUAAUGUAUGAGACAGCAUAUACUUUGUUACUGCUGUCUGGUGACUGGGUCACUUUCUAAAGGCAUGCCCUAUGACAGUAUCCUCUCUCCAAAUUAUCCUACAACUUCAGUAAAGCUCACUACCAUAUUCUGCUGUGCAGGGGAGAAAAGCUCUUUCAAUUUACGUCUCUACAUGCAAGCCUUUAAAAUCAUGUGGCAUAUACUUUAUUCAAACUAAAAUUUUUUAUGUUACAGCCUUUCUUGCUCACAAAAAGCAGAAAAUCAACCCACACUACUAAAAAAUUAUGAAUUUGUAAAGUAGAUCCAAAGAAGGAUAGUUAAAGUUCUCCUGGAAAGGGCUGGAAAUCAUGAAGGAAAUGUUUCAGUGGCUGUUCAUGAUGAACAGAUCACAGGCAUCAGAGCACACAGCGCCAGAGGCUGCUGGUGGGGCUGCCACAACAGUGGAGCUUCAGGACAGAGCUGUGUGCUGCCUCCCCAGCAAGUCACCCAGCACACUGCCAGAAGUGCUCUCCAGACAAGACCUAUCACUGCACAGCCAGCCAAGGCUGCAAUUACAAAACUAACUUCAUACCCCAAGACAAGAUGACCCACAUCCCAAAUAACUUCUGUAGAUGUCAGGCUCUGGAGUGGGACAUAAAGCCUGCUGAGACUGAAAAGCUUGGAAAGAAAUGAAAUAAGAACCUACACAUAUAUACAUGCAAAAUAAUUAUAAAGUUGUCACUUGAGGGCACAUGAUCAAUCCAAAGAAAUGUCGCUGAGAACACAGAUCAGAAAGGGGCCUGAUAAAGGAAUUUAUAGCACGGAUACAGGCACUGUGAGAACUUCAUUACACUGUGUAGACACAUUUGUGUGCAUAUUUAUCCAAGAAAGAAACUGGGAAGAGAGGGAGAAAAGCAAGUGAGAACAGUUUCAAACCCAUGCUAAGGGUCAUAUUCCUCCUUCCUCAAUAGCAAUGGACCAAAACACACAUUUCAGCAGUACCCCAGUGUGGCAUCUGGGUGGUCAGGCUACUACACAGUCACACCACAGAGAAAGGAAAACACUUUCUAAGACAGCAUUCUUAAAAGAUUAAGCCAAUAAGAUACAGAAAUCUUGAGUGAUGGAGCUUGAACAACUUCAACAGAAAAAAAAAAAAGAAGAUCCAGGGGAAAGAGAUCACACAAAAUCAAGUGAGGAAAUAUCAUAAAACAUCAGAAGCUAACUGAGAAUUUGUAACAACUCUAAAAUAUUUGUUAGGAGCUAUAGUGAAAGGACAAGGAGUAAUCGCAGAUGCAAUUUGGUGCAAUUGAAAAGGGUGCCAAUUGAAAGAGGAGAAAUUUAGGUCAGAUAUUACAAAGAAAUUUUUACUGUGAGGGUGGUUAAGCAUUGGAACAGGUUUCCCAGGGAGACUGUCACUGGCCCAUCCCUGGCAGUGUUGAAGGCCAGGUUGGAUAAGGCCUUGAGCAGCCUAGUCUAGUGGGAGGUGUCCCUGCCCAUGGCAGGAGGGGUUGGGAUUAUGAUCUGUGAGGCCCAUUCCAACCCCUUAACAUUCUAUGAUUCUAUGAUUUUUUCAGGCAGAAAAAAAAAAUAAAAAUCAAAUCAAACUAGCAGAUUAUAUUCACACUCACAUUAAAAUGCAAAUCACAGAAACUCUUCAUAACAUUUUGCUAAUUCAGACCUCAAGAUAUUUCAGGUAAUAUUAAUUCAGGAACAAUUCCUGCCCAUGGCAAGUCUAUGAAACAAAAUCAACAGGAUCAUUUAUUACUGGUUUUGAAUUCUAGGCACAGUCAUACAAAGAUGUCAGUUUGAAAGGGACUUAGCCCAAAAAAACUAUGUUAUUCACAGGACUGCAGAAUAAUGACAUGGCAUCUGACAGGGCAUUCAACUUGACUCCUUCCUUUCACCAGUGUAACUAAUUAAUUCAGAUAGGUAUAAUGCAAGCAGCUUUUUCUCCAGCAUUGUCUUACACCACAAAGAGUAGCUGCAUAUUUCUAUGUACUCCAAUAACUAAGGUGACAUGAAAAUCCAGCCAUCUGAAGCACCUGCAGAUCCUGGGCCACAGAGACAAGCAAAAAAGCAAAACAAAAAGCUGUUCUAGAAAAGGAUACAAUGCUAGAUUUUUUUUCCCUUGUACAUAAUAUUUACUGCAAUAUUGCUAAAACAGCCUCAAGAGAGAGGAAAAAAACUAGCUGUGUCAAUAUAAACAAUGAUUUUGCUAUUAGCCUUUACCCAGAUAAUCCAAAUAUGUAAACUACUUUAGCAUCAGAUGUACAGUAACAAAUGCUGCACCUGCUGUACAGCUGAGAUUUCUGAAAUAAUACUUAGUUGGCAAAAAAAAAGCUAAAAAUAAAUUCAAGCUGUUUAAAAUGGGAAAAAAAAAAACACCAACCCGCAGGAAACAAAUACAUAAGCACUCAAUGGUGUGAGAAAAAAAAGUAAUUUGUAUGCAGAAAUGUAGAAAGAAAGAUGGUUCUGAAUGACAUUAAAAGUUCACAAGACACAUUAAACCCAGAAUUUUGAGGAGUAUGAAAUCCCAUACUACAUUGAAGUAAACAGCAAGUGCACCUAAAGGUUCUGUUCCACUUCUGGCCACCUUCAUACCAACAAGAGCAAUCAAAAUUCAGAAAAACAGAACAAAUUGCAGAGGUGAUCUGACAUUGGAAUUUGAGAAUUCCAAAGUAAACAAUGACUGAGAAGACUCCUGUAGGAAUCAGCUGAAAGGAAUGGAAGCACAAACAUCAAAUGAAAUAAUUUUUAUUUUGGCUCAAGGGAGAGUACAAGUGGAAAGCUAUUAAUUGAUUUUGCAACCUAAUGAAGGACUAAGCACAUACAAAUUAAGUCCUGCAAUGAAAACAACCGUGGUGCCUGGCCCCAAGGAGAAUUUGGAAAUGUGGGGUAAAGUGCUUUGACUACCCAGUGUGGAAACCUCCCACUCGAGGGAGCUCCCUAGAACCAGCUCCCAGGAACACCAAACACAAAUGUUCAACCAUUCAUUGCAGAGCUCAGAGAUCUCAAUUAAGGUCACAUAGGAGACAUGCUUGCUGAUAUACGAUCUAGACCCUGAGCAGGAAUAUAGCCCAAAUAGGUGGUAACACUGAGUAUAAUUCCCUGAAAAAAAAUGGAAGACAGUCCUACCUUAUUAUAUAAUUGUGUGCUGCUAAGUU